rnacentral:lncRNA from 1 species
UAUUAAGCUUGCUGGUGGCAUGCAUCUGUAACAAGUAUUUUACUUAGUGUGUAUUGAAGAUUUAUAUUCUUUUAAAAAAUAAUCUUUACCGGCUUCCUGAUUCUUUUUCCUCUCUGGCUUUGGGGUAAGUACGCCGUUUAUUUUCGAUGUGGAUAAUCGGAAAAAAAUAAAAACCGGCAAAAGCAAACGCUAGGAUACCACGAACUACC